ACUCCUACGGGAGGCAGCAGUGGGGAAUCUUGCGCAAUGGGCGAAAGCCUGACGCAGCAACGCCGCGUGCGGGAUGACGGCCUUCGGGUUGUAAACCGCUUUCAGCAGGGACGAAGAUGACGGUACCUGCAGAAGAAGCCCCGGCUAACUACGUGCCAGCAGCCGCGGUAAUAC
rnacentral:rRNA from 1 species